rnacentral:rRNA from 1 species
AACCCGCCUGCAUGAAGUUGGAAUCACUAGUAAUCGCGGAUCAGCAUGCCGCGGUGAAUGCGUUCUCGGGCCUUGUACACACCGCCCGUCACACCAUGAGAGUCGGGAACACCCGAAGUCCGUAGCCUAACCGCAAGGGGGGCGCGGCCGAAGGUGGGCUCGAUAAUUGGGGUGAAGUCGUAACAAGGUAGC